UCAGACGAUGCGUCAUGCAUAUCAAUAAGCGGAGGAAAAGAAACUAACAAGGGAUUCCCCUAGUAACGGCGAGUGAAGCGGGAAGAGCUCAAAUUUGAAAUCUUAAAGGGUUUCCCUUUACGAAUUGUAGUUUAAAGAAGUGUUUUCUGUUGAGGUUUUGGUAAAAGUUCUUUGGAAUAGGACAUCAUAGAGGGUGAGAAUCCCGUAUUUGACCUUUACUUUCAACUUUGUGAUACACUUUCAAAGAGUCGGAUUGUUUGGGAAUGCAGUCCAAAAUGGGUGGUAAAUUUCAUCUAAAGCUAAAUAUUGGCGAGAGACCGAUAGCGAACAAGUACCGUGAGGGAAAGAUGAAAAGAACUUUGAAAAGAGAGUUAAACAGUACGUGAAAUUGUCAAAAGGGAAGCGUUUGACACCAGUGUUGUUUUUCUGAAAAUCAAUUAAAGAACUGUUUAUGCUAAGCUGUUUAGACUUUAUCAGCUAAUCUGUUUAGUUUUGAGCUUUUCUUUAAUGCACUUUUCAGUUAACAAGUCAACAUCAAUUUCUUUUGCUGUAAAAAAGCUUGAGGAAGGUGGCUUGAGAUUCGUCUUAAGUGUUUAUAGCCUCUUGCCUAUGCAGUCGGAGAGAUUGAGGUCUGCAGCGUAGAUCCUUCGGGGCUAAAUGCAUUUGUGCUAAGUUAUAGCAUUUUAUAGACAACUUGUUGACUAUGAUUUGUCUUGUAGCUUACUCGCUUAUGUUAUUUUACCUACGCUUAGGAUGUUGACACACGCGCGUGCUCG
rnacentral:rRNA from 1 species